rnacentral:rRNA from 1 species
UACGAAGGGGGCUAGCGUUGCUCGGAAUCACUGGGCGUAAAGCGCACGUAGGCGGCUUGUUAAGUCGGGGGUGAAAUCCUGGAGCUCAACUCCAGAACUGCCUUCGAUACUGGCGAUCUCGAGUCCGGGAGAGGUGAGUGGAACUCCGAGUGUAGAGGUGAAAUUCGUAGAUAUUCGGAAGAACACCAGUGGCGAAGGCGGCUCACUGGCCCGGUACUGACGCUGAGGUGCGAAAGCGUGGGGAGCAAACAGG